GAGAAAGGGGCUAAAAAGGGUUUUAGGUUUUGGUGUAACCAUCGCAGGAGGGCUGCUUGUGUUCUCAAUUCUCAUCAAAAAUGACAACGCUGGGAACAGAAUUUAGCCUUUGAUUGGUAUUCUGAUUUUUUUCAAAAUCACUUUUUUAAACUCAUUUUCAACAGUUUAUUCUUCUAAUAUAAAUUUGCGCAUUAAUUCGUAAUCUCUUCUACUUUUUAGUUAUAUAAAAAUCAAAAUCAAAUAAAGAAUAAGUUUCCACUUGAAAAAUGAGCCUUUUCCACGAAGGUCAUUGCACCUAUAGACUCCCAACUUUGGGAAAUCUCAAUUUUUAGUCUUUUGUUUUAAUUAUAUCACUUUAGUAUGUGAAUUUUUUACUUCUGAUUGGGUCAAAUUUCUAACAUUUUAAUUUGUGAAAAAACAUCAUUUUUUGUUGACUUGUUAAAUCGUUAGGACUCUUGUCAACAUUUGAUAUUCUUGUUCUUGAAAAGUCUAUAAGAAUAUUGAUUUAUCUGUUGACCACUAGAGAUAUACGGAGUGGUAGAUUCUCUAACGGUCAAAUUAAUAUGUUUAUUUUAAAAUGAUUCUAAUCAAUUAACAAUAAUUAUAUUUUUCUCAUAAUUAUAAUGAAUGAAAUUGCAAAGAUUUAUAGACAAGGAAUGAGAUUGAACUUUUUUGUGGUUAUAUUACUUGCAUAUUAUUUCAAAACUCGAAGUUAUGACUCAUGUCAAUGGGGUUCACAAAAUGACAUCUCAUUAAGUUGCAUAUUUGACGUGUUAUUGUCAAUUGCUAUUCUUAUGUUAUAUGCUUAAUUUGUUCUAGUGUUUAAUAAACUAUAAUCGUGCUAGGUAUCUAUUCCAUGGAUGUAAGUAAAAAUUAACCAUUUGAUUCGUGGUUGUGAUGGUUGUCAAUCUAUUGAUUUCAUGUAGUCACUUGAGUUAACUUAUUUAGAUAUGCACACAUUAUCGAAGAAUAACUAAUAAUUAUAAUAUUGCCAAGAUAAUUAAAAGAUUGUCAAGUGAAUUUGCUUUUUUCUACAAACAAACUUUCGUACAAAUAAUAUCAAAUAGAUUAGAAUUUUGAGGAUUCCUCAAUCCACACUGAAUAUGGCUGCAAAGAGUAACAUUUUUAACAAGCAUGUGAGUGAUCCUAUCCGCUUCAUGCCUAACAGAAGACAAGUUAGACCAUAGAAAUAACCCAUAAGACUAAACCAAUUUAACUUAGCAAAAGUAAGAACUUUUGAUUUUCACUCAUUGAAAAAAUAUUUACUUUGGUUCAUUUUCAUUUUUUACUUUUAUAUGUUUUGGAAGUAAACCUUUUAAGCUCAGUCAAACAAAAUUGAAUUCACUGACUAAAAUUUUAUGAUUGGAUGAUUAGUAGUAGGAGCCAAAGUUCCCUUCUUUAGACCUAUGUCGUAUGAGUGCAUCAUCAAAACUAGAAUCCUAGGUACCCUCCUUUCACCCGAGAAAAAGAAGCCUUAAAGUUGCAAACCAUAAGUUUUGACCAAAAUGAGCAAAAAAAUGCUUAAAAAAAAGUCAUUAAAAAAUGUAGAUUAUAUAGGUCAAAUCUUUUCAAUAAUAAAAUGUAAUCUCUCUUUCCAGCAUUUUCUCAUUUCAUUCCCUUUUCCAAGGACCAAAGAGAAAAUAAAAUGCCACCUUUUGUCGAGUGAGAUGUCGUACUCAUCACACCCACAACCCAUUGUUUUUAUCCCUUUUCUCAGUAAUAUUUAUAACAGUCAAACUUCUUUCACUGUAAAACUUCCACAAAACUUGAAUUUUUUGCUAUUUUUUCAAUAGAAGUUAAUGGGAUUGUUGGGGGUAGUUCUAAAUCAAUAAAUAUGUGUAGGGGACUAUAUACUUUAAAGCAUU
rnacentral:lncRNA from 1 species